AACGAACGCUGGCGGCGUACCUAACACAUGCAAGUCGUACGAGAAAUUCCGAUUCGUCGGGGGAGUAAAGUGGCGAACGGGUGAGUAACACUAGGGUAAUCUCCCCUUGAAUAAGGGAUAACGUUGCGAAAGCGACGCUAAUACCGGAUAGUUCAACGGACCGCAUGGUCCGCCGAUGAAAGGCGCUUCGGCGUCACCUUGAGAUGGCCUUGCGGUGCAUUAGCUAGUUGGUGGGGUAACGGCCCACCAAGGCGACGAUGCAUAGCCGACCUGAGAGGGUGAUCGGCCACACUGGGACUGAGACACGGCCCAGACUCCUACGGGAGGCAGCAGUAGGGAAUCUUCCACAAUGGACGAAAGUCUGAUGGAGCAACGCCGCGUGAGUGAUGAAGGUUUUCGGAUCGUAAAACUCUGUUGUAAGGGAAGAACACGUACGAGGGGUAAUGCUCGUACCUUGACGGUACCUUACGAGAAAGCCACGGCUAACUACGUGCCAGCCGCCGCAGUAAAAC
rnacentral:rRNA from 1 species